rnacentral:rRNA from 1 species
UACGAAGGGGGCUAGCGUUGUUCGGAAUCACUGGGCGUAAAGGGCGCGUAGGCGGCUUUGUAAGUCGGGGGUGAAAGCCUGUGGCUCAACCACAGAAUUGCCUUCGAUACUGCAUGGCUUGAGACCGGAAGAGGUAAGUGGAACUGCGAGUGUAGAGGUGAAAUUCGUAGAUAUUCGCAAGAACACCAGUGGCGAAGGCGGCUUACUGGUCCGGUACUGACGCUGAGGCGCGAAAGCGUGGGGAGCAAACAGG